UUUGCCUAUAGGCUAAUCUGAUGGCGGCAUUUUUCUCACUUGAGGUUCCCUCUUCCCAGAUGACCCUGGUGUCAAGUUGAUGAAAACCUAGCCAGCACAGGGGAGCAGAGAGGCUCCAGUGUGUGGCCCUAGACCCUAUCUCAAACCAAAGCUGUCUUCCUUGGAGAGCUGUUCACCUGAGAUCAGCUGAGUUCUCUCGACAGGCAUUGGAAUAGCUGCAUCCCUACCCCACCUCCCAUUCUAGAUAAGAAAACUGAAGCAGAAAGAGACAUAGAUCCUGCUGUGUUUAAGCUCCUGUCCUGACUUCUGUUUGUGGUGAACCUUGAUGUGAAGGGUAAGCUUGUGCCCUUCCCCCAGCCUUGAGUCGGGCUAAACAGAUCUUGAAUGCUUGCCACAAAUGGUUUUACUACCUAGGUGGAGUCGGCUGGCCUCACCACAUUUGCAAUUUCCUGCAGGAGCUUAGAGGAGUAGACAGCCCACUGAGCUUGCUUUGUGACAUAAUCCAGUUGAAACAAAAGAUGGGGUCUGUGGGCUUUCCCUAUAUAAACGCAGUGCUGAAUGUUAAACUUUGAGCCUUGAUCAGAACCUUUGUCUUGGCUUCAUCCUUCUCUCACACCCUAUCUUUUGUCAGUUCCAGUCCCCCUUUCAGGUAACCCAGUUCUCCUUGGCCACUGAACACUACAUAAACUGAAUAAACCCUUCCCUCCCAAACUUGUUCUUUUGGUCAUGGUGUUUUGUCACAGCAAUAAAAACUCUAACUGACAUACAACCCACUGAGUUCAUUGACUGCCGCUCAUAUUCAUAUGUUACUUUGGGCUGACCACUUUGUUGAAUAACCAAUUAGUGGGCUUAU